GGGGUCGUUACGGAUUCGACAGGCAUUAUGAGGCUUAUUUUGCGACUCAUCGGCAGAUGUAAAAAUGCCAGUUAAAUAUAACUGCAAAAAAUAACACUUCUUACGCUGUAGCUGCCUAAAAACCAGCUCGCGUGACUUUUACAAAAGUGCUUACCUUUUGUUAAAAGUCUUAUUUCAGUAAGCUACGUUUAACGAGUGCCAAGAUCGUUAAAAAGAGAUUGAUUGGAUCGCUUUGGAAAGGCUUGAGCUAUGUGUCUUUUCAGGGUUAAAUCAAGACAUAGCCUAUGGUUGUAGACAAAUAAGUUGGCAGGUGUUUGGACGUGGGUUCGACUCCCACCGGCUCCA
rnacentral:tmRNA from 1 species